CACGAACAAGGAAAUAUGAUAAUAACCAUUUUAUUAUUGCCUCUAGGGCAUAUUUCCAACACAUGGUGCGGGGCACAAGCGGCUCUAUCCAUAGAGACAAUAUUUCGAUCAUUUGAGUUUGUUUUCAUGGCACACUUGAUGCAAGAAAUAUUUGGAUACACAGAUGAGUUGUGUAGAGCUUUGCAAAAGCAAGACGAAGAUAUUGUUCAUGCUAUUGAGCUUGUUAGUGACACAAAGUAUUACUUGGAGGCUUUGAGGACCGAUGCUGGAUGGGAUGAUUUUCUCACAAAGGUCACAUCUUUUUGCACAAAGCAUAAGAUCAAAGUUGUUGAUAUGGAGGGUCCUUACUUUCCCGUUGGCUGGCCUAGAAGGGGUUUAUGUAAUGGUGUGAUCAUUACCACCGCUUCAAGGUUGAUAUGUUUGUGG
rnacentral:rRNA from 1 species